rnacentral:rRNA from 1 species
GACGAACGCUGGCGGCGUGCUUAACACAUGCAAGUCGAACGAUGACGACCGAGCUUGCUCGGUCUGAUUAGUGGCGAACGGGUGAGUAACACGUUAGCAACCUGCCCUUCACUCUGGGAUAACCUCGGGAAAUCGGGGCUAAUACCGGAUAUGAGCUCCUGUCGCAUGGCGGGUGUUGGAAAGUUUUUCGGUGAAGGAUGGGCUCGCGGCCUAUCAGUUUGUUGGUGAGGUAGUGGCUCACCAAGGCGAUGACGGGUAGCCGGCCUGAGAGGGCGACCGGCCACACUGGGACUGAGACACGGCCCAGACUCCUACGGGAGGCAGCAGUGGGGAAUAUUGCACAAUGGGCGAAAGCCUGAUGCAGCGACGCCGCGUGAGGGAUGACGGCCUUCGGGUUGUAAACCUCUUUCAGCAGGGAAGAAGCGAAAGUGACGGUACCUGCAGAAGAAGCGCCGGCUAACUACGUG